rnacentral:rRNA from 1 species
UUAAGCGACUAAGCGUACACGGUGGAUGCCCUGGCAGUCAGAGGCGAUGAAGGACGUGCUAAUCUGCGAUAAGCGUCGGUGAGGUGAUAUGAACCGUUAUAACCGGCGAUUUCCGAAUGGGGAAACCCAGUGUGUUUCGACACACUAUCAUUAACUGAAUCCAUAGGUUAAUGAGGCGAACCGGGGGAACUGAAACAUCUAAGUACCCCGAGGAAAAGAAAUCAACCGAGAUUCCCCCAGUAGCGGCGAGCGAACGGGGAGGAGCCCAGAGCCUGAAUCAGUGUGUGUGUUAGUGGAAGCGUCUGGAAAGGCGUGCGAUACAGGGUGACAGCCCCGUACACAAAAAUGCACAUAUUGUGAGCUCGAUGAGUAGGACGGGACACGUGGUAUCCUGUCUGAAUAUGGGGGGACCAUCCUCCAAGGCUAAAUACUCCUGACUGACCGAUAGUGAACCAGUACCGUGAGGGAAAGGCGAAAAGAACCCCGGCGAGGGGAGUGAAAAAGAACCUGAAACCGUGUACGUACAAGCAGUGGGAGCCUCUUUAUGGGGUGACUGCGUACCUUUUGUAUAAUGGGUCAGCGACUUAUAUUCUGUAGCAAGGUUAACCGAAUAGGGGAGCCGAAGGGAAACCGAGUCUUAACUGGGCGUUAAGUUGCAGGGUAUAGACCCGAAACCCGGUGAUCUAGCCAUGGGCAGGUUGAAGGUUGGGUAACACUAACUGGAGGACCGAACCGACUAAUGUUGAAAAAUUAGCGGAUGACUUGUGGCUGGGGGUGAAAGGCCAAUCAAACCGGGAGAUAGCUGGUUCUCCCCGAAAGCUAUUUAGGUAGCGCCUCGUGAAUUCAUCUCCGGGGGUAGAGCACUGUUUCGGCAAGGGGGUCAUCCCGACUUACCAACCCGAUGCAAACUGCGAAUACCGGAGAAUGUUAUCACGGGAGACACACGGCGGGUGCUAACGUCCGUCGUGAAGAGGGAAACAACCCAGACCGCCAGCUAAGGUCCCAAAGUCAUGGUUAAGUGGGAAACGAUGUGGGAAGGCCCAGACAGCCAGGAUGUUGGCUUAGAAGCAGCCAUCAUUUAAAGAAAGCGUAAUAGCUCACUGGUCGAGUCGGCCUGCGCGGAAGAUGUAACGGGGCUAAACCAUGCACCGAAGCUGCGGCAGCGACACUAUGUGUUGUUGGGUAGGGGAGCGUUCUGUAAGCCUGUGAAGGUGGCCUGUGAGGGUUGCUGGAGGUAUCAGAAGUGCGAAUGCUGACAUAAGUAACGAUAAAGCGGGUGAAAAGCCCGCUCGCCGGAAGACCAAGGGUUCCUGUCCAACGUUAAUCGGGGCAGGGUGAGUCGACCCCUAAGGCGAGGCCGAAAGGCGUAGUCGAUGGGAAACAGGUUAAUAUUCCUGUACUUGGUGUUACUGCGAAGGGGGGACGGAGAAGGCUAUGUUGGCCGGGCGACGGUUGUCCCGGUUUAAGCGUGUAGGCUGGUUUUCCAGGCAAAUCCGGAAAACCAAGGCUGAGGCGUGAUGACGAGGCACUACGGUGCUGAAGCGACAAAUGCCCUGCUUCCAGGAAAAGCCUCUAAGCAUCAGGUAACAUCAAAUCGUACCCCAAACCGACACAGGUGGUCAGGUAGAGAAUACCAAGGCGCUUGAGAGAACUCGGGUGAAGGAACUAGGCAAAAUGGUGCCGUAACUUCGGGAGAAGGCACGCUGAUAUGUAGGUGAAGCGACUUGCUCGUGGAGCUGAAAUCAGUCGAAGAUACCAGCUGGCUGCAACUGUUUAUUAAAAACACAGCACUGUGCAAACACGAAAGUGGACGUAUACGGUGUGACGCCUGCCCGGUGCCGGAAGGUUAAUUGAUGGGGUUAGCGGCAACGCGAAGCUCUUGAUCGAAGCCCCGGUAAACGGCGGCCGUAACUAUAACGGUCCUAAGGUAGCGAAAUUCCUUGUCGGGUAAGUUCCGACCUGCACGAAUGGCGUAAUGAUGGCCAGGCUGUCUCCACCCGAGACUCAGUGAAAUUGAACUCGCUGUGAAGAUGCAGUGUACCCGCGGCAAGACGGAAAGACCCCGUGAACCUUUACUAUAGCUUGACACUGAACAUUGAGCCUUGAUGUGUAGGAUAGGUGGGAGGCUUUGAAGUGUGGACGCCAGUCUGCAUGGAGCCGACCUUGAAAUACCACCCUUUAAUGUUUGAUGUUCUAACGUUGGCCCGUAAUCCGGGUUGCGGACAGUGUCUGGUGGGUAGUUUGACUGGGGCGGUCUCCUCCUAAAGAGUAACGGAGGAGCACGAAGGUUGGCUAAUCCUGGUCGGACAUCAGGAGGUUAGUGCAAUGGCAUAAGCCAGCUUGACUGCGAGCGUGACGGCGCGAGCAGGUGCGAAAGCAGGUCAUAGUGAUCCGGUGGUUCUG